rnacentral:ncRNA from 1 species
CAUAGGGGUGCCUUACUAUCAGGCUGAGAUUAUACCCAUAGAACCUGCCCGGGUAAUGCCGUGAAGGGAAAAGGUAGAAU